rnacentral:rRNA from 1 species
GACGAACGCUGGCGGCGUGCCUAAUACAUGCAAGUUGAGCGCUGAAGGUUGGUACUUGUACCAACUGGAUGAGCAGCGAACGGGUGAGUAACGCGUGGGGAAUCUGCCUUUGAGUGGGGGACAACAUUUGGAAACGAAUGCUAAUACCGCAUAAAAACUUUAAACACAAGUUUUAAGUUUGAAAGAUGCAAUUGCAUCACUCAAAGAUGAUCCCGCGUUGUAUUAGCUAGUUGGUGAGGUAAAGGCUCACCAAGGCGAUGAUACAUAGCCGACCUGAGAGGGUGAUCGGCCACAUUGGGACUGAGACACGGCCCAAACUCCUACGGGAGGCAGCAGUAGGGAAUCUUCGGCAAUGGACGAAAGUCUGACCGAGCAACGCCGCGUGAGUGAAGAAGGUUUUCGGAUCGUAAAACUCUGUUGGUAGAGAAGAACGUUGGUGAGAGUGGAAAGCUCAUCAAGUGACGGUAACUACCCAGAAAGGGACGGCUAACUACGUG